UACCUGGGAGGCUGAGGCAGGAGAAUCGCUUAGACCUGGGAGGUGGAGUUUUCACUGGGCCUGGGCCUGGGCCAGGCAUCUGGUGUAAGGGUGUCAUUGUCAUGAGUUACCAUGGCCCCAAUGCUCAGGGAUGGCCCAGGGCUCUCCCCCGCCCUGUCAGACCCUGCCCAGGGGUGCCUCCAGGAGUGACUUCGAGAGUGGAUUGUAGGUCCUGAGCCCGGCCAUCAGGAGUGUCAGGCUCGGUGGUCACCCUGAUGUAGGGCAGAUCCUGGGGAUGCAGCCCCGGCAACCCUGCGCAGAGCCUCCUCUUGAGGCACAGGAACCCCUGCUCUCAGUGGGUUGGGCACG
rnacentral:lncRNA from 1 species